GCCUGGUUAUGGGGGACAACGUUUCGAAAGGAACGCUAAUACCGCAUACGUCCUACGGGAGAAAGUGGGGGAUCUUCGGACCUCACGCUAUCAGAUGAGCCUAGGUCGGAUUAGCUAGUUGGUGAGGUAAAGGCUCACCAAGGCGACGAUCCGUAACUGGUCUGAGAGGAUGAUCAGUCACACUGGAACUGAGACACGGUCCAGACUCCUACGGGAGGCAGCAGUGGGGAAUAUUGGACAAUGGGCGAAAGCCUGAUCCAGCCAUGCCGCGUGUGUGAAGAAGGUCUUCGGAUUGUAAAGCACUUUAAGUUGGGAGGAAGGGCAGUAAGUUAAUACCUUGCUGUUUUGACGUUACCAACAGAAUAAGCACCGGCUAACUUCGUGCCAGCAGCCGCGGUAAUACGAAGGGUGCAAGCGUUAAUCGGAAUUACUGGGCGUAAAGCGCGCGUAGGUGGUUCGUUAAGUUGGAUGUGAAAGCCCCGGGCUCAACCUGGGAACUGCAUCCAAAACUGGCGAGCUAGAGUAUGGCAGAGGGUGGUGGAAUUUCCUGUGUAGCGGUGAAAUGCGUAGAUAUAGGAAGGAACACCAGUGGCGAANGCGACCACCUGGGCUAAUACUGACACUGANGUGCGAAAGCGUGGGGAGCAAACAGGAUUAGAUACCCUGGUAGUCCACGCCGUAAACGAUGUCGACUAGCCGUUGGGAUCCUUGAGAUCUUAGUGGCGCAGCUAACGCAUUAAGUCGACCGCCUGGGGAGUANGGCCGCAAGGUUAAAACUCAAAUGAAUUGACGGGGCCCGCACAAGCGGUGNNCAUGUNGUUUAAUUCGAAGCAACGCGAAGAACCUUACCNNGCCUUGACNUGCAGAANAANUUUCCANAGAUGGAUUGGUGCCNUCGGGAACUCUGANNNNNGNUGCUGCAUGNNGUCNUCAGCUCGUGUC
rnacentral:rRNA from 1 species